rnacentral:rRNA from 1 species
GGUUGUAAACUGCUUUUUGUACGGGAAGAACUACAUCUACGUGUAGAUGUUUGACGGUACCGUAAGAAUAAGGAUCGGCUAACUCCGUGCCAGCAGCCGCGGUAAUACGGAGGAUCCGAGCGUUAUCCGGAUUUAUUGGGUUUAAAGGGUGCGCAGGCGGGUAUAUAAGCCAGAGGUGAAAUUCCACGGCUCAACUGUGGGACUGCCUUUGAUACUGCAUAUCUAGAGUAUAUUUGGAGUGGGCGGAAUGUAGCAUGUAGCGGUGAAAUGCUUAGAUAUGCUACAGAACACCGAUCGUGAAGACAGCUCACUAAACUAUAACUGACGCUCAGGCACGAAAGCGUGGGGAGCAAACAGGAUUAGAUACCCUGGUAGUCCACGCCGUAAACGAUGAUUACUCGCUGUUGGCGAUACACAGUCAGCGGCUAAGCGAAAGUGAUAAGUAAUCCACCUGGGGAGUACGAUCGCAAGAUUGAAACUCAAAGGAAUUGACGGGGGCCCGCACAAGCGGAGGAGCAUGUGGUUUAAUUCGAUGAUACGCGAGGAACCUUACCUGGGCUCGAACGUAGUGUGACUAAGUGUGAAAGCAUUUAUUUCUUCGGAACAGACUACGAGGUGCUGCAUGGUUGUCGUCAGCUCGUGCCGUGAGGUGUUAGGUUAAGUCCUGCAACGAGCGCAACCCCUAUUCUUAGUUGCCAGCAUGUCAUGAUGGGGACUCUAAGGAAACUGCCUACGCAAGUAGUGAGGAAGGCGGGGAUGACGUCAAAUCAGCACGGCCCUUACGUCCAGGGCUACACACGUGCUACAAUGGCCGGUACAGAGGGCAGCUACAUAGCGAUAUGAUGCGAAUCUCGAAAGCCGGUCUCAGUUCGGAUUGGAGUCUGCAACUCGACUCCAUGAAGUUGGAUUCGCUAGUAAUCGCGCAUCAGCCAUGGCGCGGUGAAUACGUUCCCGGGCCUUGUACACACCGCCCGUCAAGCCAUGGAAGCUUGGGGUACCUGAAGUCCGUGACCCACAAGGAGCGGCCUAG